AGAUGUGUGAGCAUUUUGGUCAUGACGUCUACCAACCCACCGAUAGCCAGGGGUUAAUGGCACUCAUCUACUGUCUGGUCAAUUGAUCCUUCCUUUCUCACUACUCUAUGUGUGUCUCACUCCCAAAAAAGUGCCUGAUAAGUCAGAGAAUUAUCUUUCCAGAUAGAGGAGAAAUUAUUUCUUUUUCAGCGGGGAAAGGAGGAGAGAGGGAGAGGAAGAGAGAGAAUCUAAAGCAGGCUCCAUGCCCAGAGUAGAGCCUGUGGGGCUCAAUCU
rnacentral:sRNA from 1 species